rnacentral:rRNA from 1 species
GAACGAGAAAGGGGAGCAAUCCCUGAGUAAAGUGGCGACCGGGUGAGUAACACGUGACUAACCUGCCUUCGAGUGGGGGAUAACCUCGGGAAACCGGGGCUAAUACCGCAUAAUGCCUUCGGGUUAAAGGAGCAAUCCGCUUGAAGAGGGGGUCGCGGCUGAUUAGCUGGUUGGCGGGGUAACGGCCCACCAAGGCGAUGAUCGGUAGCCGGCCUGAGAGGGCGCACGGCCACACUGGAACUGAAACACGGUCCAGACUCCUACGGGAGGCAGCAGUGGGGAAUUUUGCGCAAUGGGGGAAACCCUGACGCAGCAACGCCGCGUGGAGGAUGAAGUCCCUUGGGACGUAAACUCCUUUCGACCGGGACGAUAAUGACGGUACCGGUGGAAGAAGCCCCGGCUAACUUCGUG